GAUGAACGCUGGCGGCGUGCCUAAUACAUGCAAGUCGAGCGAACGGACGAGAAGCUUGCUUUUCUGAUGUUAGCGGCGGACGGGUGAGUAACGCGUGGAUAACCUACCUAUAAGACUGGGAUAACUUCGGGAAACCGGAGCUAAUACCGGAUAAUAUUUUGAACCGCAUGGUUCAAAAGUGAAAGACGGUCUUGCUGUCACUUAUAGAUGGAUCCGCGCUGCAUUAGCUAGUUGGUAAGGUAACGGCUUACCAAGGCAACGAUGCAUAGCCGACCUGAGAGGGUGAUCGGCCACACUGGAACUGAGACACGGUCCAGACUCCUACGGGAGGCAGCAGUAGGGAAUCUUCCGCAAAGGGCGAAAGCCUGACGGAGCAACGCCGCGUGAGUGAUGAAGGUCUUCGGAUCGUAAAACUCUGUUAUUAGGGAAGAACAUAUGUGUAAGUAACUGUGCACAUCUUGACGGUACCUAAUCAGAAAGCCACGGCUAACUACGUG
rnacentral:rRNA from 1 species